rnacentral:miRNA from 1 species
CGUUUUACCGAUCGUUUGGU